ACAAUAGGAAGGAAAACCAAUAUGAACCAGAUCGUCGAGUAUGUGAAGGAAAUAAGGGACAUGGGAAUGGAGGUUUGCUGCACCUUGGGAAUGCUUGAGAAGCAGCAAGCUUUAGAGCUCAAGAAAGCUGGUCUAACAGCAUACAAUCACAAUCUUGACACCUCAAGAGAAUACUAUCCUAAUAUUAUAACCACUAGAACUUAUGAUGAGCGGCUGGAAACUCUUAAGCAUGUACGCGAAGCAGGAAUUAAUGUGUGUUCAGGUGGAAUAAUAGGGCUCGGUGAGGCUGAAGAGGAUAGAAUUGGUUUGUUGCAUACCCUGUCAACUCUUCCAACUCACCCUGAGAGUGUGCCGAUUAAUGCACUUAUUGCAGUAAAAGGUACACCAUUGGAAGACCAGAAGCCAGUGGACAUAUGGGAUAUGAUUAGGAUGAUUUCGACAGCAAGAAUAACAAUGCCAGGUGCAAUGGUUAGGCUUUCUGCAGGAAGAGUUCGUUUUUCUGUCCCCGAGCAGGCUCUUUGUUUCCUUGCUGGUGCCAAUUCCAUCUUUACAGGUGAGAAGUUGUUGACUACACCAAAUAAUGACUAUGAUGCUGAUCAGAAUAUGUUCAAAUUACUUGGACUUGUUCCUAAAGCUCCAAAUUUCUCUGAGGAUGAAAAAGAUUCUGAAGACGAAAAGAUGGAAGCAUCUGUUUAGACUUUAGUUUAGUUCAUUCUGUAAUGAUCAACCAGAGAUCUAUCUUUUUA
rnacentral:misc_RNA from 1 species